rnacentral:rRNA from 1 species
UACGUAGGUGGCGAGCGUUGUCCGGAUUUACUGGGUGUAAAGGGCGUGUAGGCGGGACUGCAAGUCAGAUGUGAAAUCUGUGGGCUUAACUCACAAACUGCAUUUGAAACUGUGGUUCUUGAGUGAUGGAGAGGCAGGCGGAAUUCCGUGUGUAGCGGUGAAAUGCGUAGAUAUACGGAGGAACACCAGUGGCGAAGGCGGCCUGCUGGACAUUAACUGACGCUGAGGCGCGAAAGCGUGGGGAGCAAACAGG